rnacentral:rRNA from 1 species
AUUGAACGCUGGCGGCAGGCCUAACACAUGCAAGUCGAACGGCAGCACAGUAAGAGCUUGCUCUUACGGGUGGAGAGUGGCGGACGGGUGAGGAAUACAUCGGAAUCUACUUUUUCGCGGGGGAUAACGUAGGGAAACUUACGCUAAUACCGCAUACGACCUACGGGUGAAAGCAGGGGAUCUUCUGACCUUGCGCGAUUGAAUGAGCCGAUGUCGGAUUAGCUAGUUGGCGGGGUAAAGGCCCACCAAGGCGACGAUCCGUAGCUGGUCUGAGAGGAUGAUCAGCCACACUGGAACUGAGACACGGUCCAGACUCCUACGGGAGGCAGCAGUGGGGAAUAUUGGACAAUGGGCGCAAGCCUGAUCCAGCAAUACCGCGUGGGUGAAGAAGGCCUUCGGGUUGUAAAGCCCUUUUGUUGGGAAAGAAAAGCAGCAGGUUAAUACCCCGCUGUUAUGACGGUACCCAAAGAAUAAGCACCGGCUAACUUCGUG